rnacentral:tRNA from 2 species
GGGGGUGUAGCUCAGUGGUAGACCGCAUGCUUAGCAUGAACGAGGCCCCGGGUUCGAUCCCUGGCACCUCCA